ensembl:misc_RNA Y_RNA Y RNA
GGCUGGUCCAAGUGCAGUGGUGUUUACAAAUAAUUGAUCACAACCAGUAACAGAUUUCUUUAUUACUUCUCCACUCCCACUGCUUCACUUGACUAGCCUAAA